rnacentral:rRNA from 1 species
GAUUUCCUACGGGGGGCAGCAGUCGGGAAUAUUGCGCAAUGGAGGAAACUCUGACGCAGUGACGCCGCGUGCAGGAAGAAGGUUUUCGGAUUGUAAACUGCUUUAGACAGGGAAGAUAAAAGACAGUACCUGUAGAAUAAGCCACGGCUAACUACGUGCCAGCAGCCGCGGUAAUACGUAGGUGGCAAGCGUUAUCCGGAUUUAUUGGGUGUAAAGGGCGUGUAGGCGGGAAUGCAAGUCAGAUGUGAAAACUAUGGGCUCAACCCAUAGCCUGCAUUUGAAACUGUAUUUCUUGAGUGCUGGAG